rnacentral:rRNA from 1 species
UGGGGAAUAUUGGACAAUGGGCGAAAGCCUGAUCCAGCCAUGCCGCGUGUGUGAAGAAGGUCUUCGGAUUGUAAAGCACUUUAAGUUGGGAGGAAGGGCUGUCGGCUAAUACCCUGCAGUUUUGACGUUACCAACAGAAUAAGCACCGGCUAACUUCGUGCCAGCAGCCGCGGUAAUACGAAGGGUGCAAGCGUUAAUCGGAAUUACUGGGCGUAAAGCGCGCGUAGGUGGUUCAGCAAGUUGGAUGUGAAAGCCCCGGGCUCAACGUGGGAACUGCAUCCAAAACUACUGAGCUAGAGUAAGGUAGAGGGUGGUGGAAUUUCCUGUGUAGCGGUGAAAUGCGUAGAUAUAGGAAGGAACACCAGUGGCGAAGGCGACCACCUGGACUGAUACUGACACUGAGGUGCGAAACCGUGGGGAGCAAACAG